UACGGAGGAUCCAAGCGUUAUCCGGAAUCAUUGGGUUUAAAGGGUCCGUAGGCGGUUUAAUAAGUCAGUGGUGAAAGCCCAUCGCUCAACGGUGGAACGGCCAUUGAUACUGUUAGACUUGAAUUAUUAGGAAGUAACUAGAAUAUGUAGUGUAGCGGUGAAAUGCUUAGAGAUUACAUGGAAUACCAAUUGCGAAGGCAGGUUACUACUAAUGGAUUGACGCUGAAUGGACGAAAGCGUGGGUAGCGAACAGG
rnacentral:rRNA from 1 species